AUUCAACAGCUGUCAGCGGUUUCUUGUUCAUUUGCAUCAGGCGUCGUUCGGUCAGGACUGAUUGAACUGCAUAGAUUAUGUGUCCCUGGGUGUAACCAUCGGAAACCUGUGCCAGGCAACUGAUGUUCAAUUGUUUGGUUUACAUGCGGCUGUAAGGAUGUUUUGAAGGUCCUGUAGAAAGGCUUCUGUAUCCUCCACACGGUGAGAUGGAGGCUGUGAAUGUAGAGAACCCUUCUGGAGGCCUGUGACAGAAACUGAGGAUGCGUUGAUUCUUCUCCGUCUGGUUCUUCCUGGAGGUGCUCAACUGCCUGUUUUGAUUGAGAUGGAUUCUGAGGUUCAUCGAUACUGACUGUGUCAUGCUGUUGUUCUGCAGGUUUUGGAGCUGGAGUUUUAGGGCCCAAAAGCAAUGAGGAGUUUCCUUAUGUUUACAUGGUAGUGCAUCUGUCCCCACAGGCAAUGAAGAAAGAUGGGGAAUUUUUGGUCUAGAAGUGUUUUGAUCUGUAGAGUCAUGUCCAGACCUGCAAGAAAUUGGAGUACAGGAGUGGGAGAUCAAGUAGUAGUGCAAUCUACUGUGCUGAUAUCUGACCCUGGAAACGAUCAUAGUGCCUCCUCUAAGGGAUGUAUCAGGGUCAUACGGAUCCAGACUUCUGUACCCAUCUGAGUGCACACAGUAGCGGUCAUUUCCUCAGUCCCAAUCUUCUUCAUGGUAGUACUCUAAGCUGUACCGAUCACCGUCUUGGUGGUACCGCUCUAAGCAGUAACGAGCACAGUCUUGAUACCAAACAUUCCCUUGGUACCCACUGAAAUCAUAGCCAUCAUGCUAUCAAUCUCCCUCCCUAUGCCUAUCCCAGUCACAGCAGUACCUGCCUUCAUAUAGGGGUGUGCACGGAACUGUUUGGCGCUCCAUUCUAGGAAUGCCAAACCAGUUCCAUGGACUUGUGUUUGAGCCAGUUUGGAGGGCGAGGGUGUGUGUGUUCCUUUAAGGGGCAGGGGAGGCAUUGUCUCCCUGCCAGCCCCACCCUGCCGCUUUCCCUGGCCGGUGCUCUCAUAAAACAUGGGU